AACGAACGCUGGCGGCAUGCCUAACACAUGCAAGUCGAACGAGACCUUCGGGUCCAGUGGCGCACGGGUUCGUAACGCGAGGGAACCUGCCCUCAGGUUCGGAAUAACUCUCCGAAAGGGGUGCUAAUACCGGAUAAUGUCUACGGACCAAAGAUUUAUCGCCUUUGGAUGGGCCCUCGUUGGAGUAGCUAGUUGGUAGGGUAAAAGCCUAAAAAGGCAACGAUGCAAAGCUGGUCUGAGAGGGUGAUCAGCCACACUGGGACGGAGACACGGCCCAGACUGGUACGAGAGGCAGCAGCAGGAACUCCUCCGGAAUGGGCGAAGGCUGGACUGAGCAACGUAGCGUGAUUGAUGAAAGUCUUCGGACCGUAAAAAUCUGUAAUAAGGGAAGAACAAAUGUGUAAGUACCUAUGCACGGCAGGACGGGGCCUAAUCAGAAAGCCACGGCUAACUACGUG
rnacentral:rRNA from 1 species